ensembl:snoRNA SNORD26 Small nucleolar RNA SNORD26
CUGCAAAGAUGAUAAAUGCUGAACUCUCUCUUUCUGAGGCUUCAGUGGAGAAAAUCUUUACCAGAUUCUGAGUGGC